UGGGGAAUAUUGGACAAUGGGCGCAAGCCUGAUCCAGCAAUGCCGCGUGUGUGAAGAAGGCCUUCGGGUUGUAAAGCACUUUUAUCAGGAGCGAAACGCUGUCGGCUAAUACCCGGCGGAACUGACGGUACCUGAGGAAUAAGCACCGGCUAACUUCGUGCCAGCAGCCGCGGUAAUACGAAGGGUGCAAGCGUUAAUCGGAAUUACUGGGCGUAAAACGUGCGUAGGCGGUUUCUUAAGUCUGCUGUGAAAUCCCCGGGCUCAACCUGGGAAUGGCAGUGGAUACUGGGAGGCUAGAGUGUGUCAGAGGGUGGUGGAAUUCCCGGUGUAGCGGUGAAAUGCGUAGAGAUCGGGAGGAACAUCAGUGGCGAAGGCGGCCACCUGGGACAACACUGACGCUGAGGCACGAAAGCGUGGGGGAGCAAACAGGAUUAGAUACCCUGGUAGUCCACGCCCUAAAGCGAUGGCGAACUGGAUGUUGGUCUCAACUCGGAGAUCAGUGUCGAAGCUAACGCGUUAAGUUCGCCGCCUGGGGAGU
rnacentral:rRNA from 1 species